rnacentral:rRNA from 1 species
UACGUAGGUGGAGAGCGGUGUGCGGAUUUACGGGGUGUAAAGGGCGUGUAGGCGGUGAAACAAGUCAGAUGUGAAAUCCCGGGGCUUAACUCCGGAGCUGCAUCUGAAACUGUUUUUCUUGAGUGCUGGAGAGGAAAGUGGAAUUCCCAGUGUAGCGGUGAAAUGCGUAGAGAUUGGGAGGAACACCAGUGGCGAAGGCGGCUUUCUGGACAGUAACUGACGCUGAGGAGCGAAAGCGUGGGGAGCAAACAGG